rnacentral:rRNA from 1 species
AGGACGAACGCUGGCGGCGUGCCUAAUGCAUGCAAGUUGCGCGGGCAUCCCUUCGGGGGUGUCAGCAGCGGACGGCUGAGUAGCGCGUGGGUUAUCUGCCCCAGAGUGGGGGAUAACGUCCCGAAAGGGAUGCUAAUCCCGCAUGGUGCCAUCCUCGUGAUGGCUAAAGCCGCAAGGCGCUCUGGGUGGAGCCCGCGUCCCAUUAGUUUGUUGGCGGGGUAAUGGCCCACCAAGACUGUGAUGGGUGGCUGGUCUGAGAGGACGACCAGCCAGACUGGGACUGAGACACGGCCCAGACUCCUACGGGAGGCAGCAGCAAGGAAUUUUCCGCAAUGGGCGCAAGCCUGACGGAGCAACGCCGCGUGGAGGAUGACGGCUCUCGGGUUGUAAACUCCUUUUUUGGGGGGAUGGACAUCGACAGUACCCCCGCAACAAGCCCCGGCUAACUACGUGCCAGCAGCCGC